rnacentral:rRNA from 1 species
UACGUAGGGUGCGAGCGUUGUCCGGAAUUAUUGGGCGUAAAGAGCUCGUAGGCGGCUUGUCGCGUCGGAUGUGAAAGCCCGGGGCUUAACUCCGGGUCUGCAUUCGAUACGGGCAGGCUAGAGUUCGGUAGGGGAGAUCGGAAUUCCUGGUGUAGCGGUGAAAUGCGCAGAUAUCAGGAGGAACACCGGUGGCGAAGGCGGCAUCCUGGACCAUUACUGACGCUGAGGCGCGAAAGCUAGGGGAGCAAACGGG